AGCGAACGCUGGCGGCAGGCCUAAAACAUGCAAGUCGAACGCCGUAGCAAUACGGAGUGGCAGACGGGUGAGUAACACGUGGGAACAUACCCUUUGGUUCGGAACAACACAGGGAAACUUGUGCUAAUACCGGAUAAGCCCUUACGGGGAAAGAUUUAUCGCCGAAGGAUUGGCCCGCGUCUGAUUAGCUAGUUGGUGGGGUAACGGCCCACCAAGGCUACGAUCAGUAGCUGGUCUGAGAGGAUGAUCAGCCACACUGGGACUGAGACACGGCCCAGACUCCUACGGGAGGCAGCAGUUAGGAAUCUUGGGCAAUGGGCGCAAGCCUGAUCCAGCCAUGCCGCGUGAGUGAUGAAGGCCUUAGGGUUGUAAAGCUCUUUCAGCGGGGAAGAUAAUGACGGUACCCGCAGAAGAAG
rnacentral:rRNA from 1 species